AUGAGGAAGAUGCGUCGCCUAUUAAAAUGUCUGGCGGCUGUUACAUUUGCUUUCUAGCACUUUUCUAUUCUCGUUUCCUUUUUUUGUACCUUCCCCUUUUGAAUUUUCCAUCGUAUAAGCCUCAGAAAUUUGGUAGACACUUAAUGAUGAAUAGGUUGGGUUAGAUUUGAUUUGAGAUCUUGAGUCACCAGGCAGUCCCAAUUUUUUUUACGAAAUAUUAGGAGUGUGCUGAUGUCAGCAUAGAUGAUGUAUUAUACAUGUUUUGUGUGGUUUGCUAUAUUUCUACUUAUAGAUGGCUAAAAUCUGAGUUUGAGAGCAGCAUGCCACAGAUGCUUGGAUUUUACUAUUGGAUUUUGCUGCCGGAAUAGGGCUUUCGGGACACUUAUUCCUUUGCUUAAGACCAACUCUGUUUUCGCCUUUGCCCCUUCAUCAUUAUACAAAAUGUCUACCAUUACCACACCCACACAUUGAUAUUAUGACUAAUUGUUUAUUAGCUAAGUUCCCAUGGCCACUUUUUACUUUUUUCUCAUUUUCUUAUUUUUAUUAUAUUUUCUGUCACUUCUGAAGUGACGGAAAAGAGGAGUUUGAAUUAGAUUUGCAAAACGGGCGGUAUCAAGAAUACUGUCACUCUAUAUGUCUAAUUUAUCGUCAACUCUGCAAAAAGAAAAUAGGAAGAAGAAAAUAGGCGGAUAAGAGUAUAUAGAGAAAUGAUUUAUUCUAUUUUUUUUUUCUUUUUCGUUUUUCAGUAGAUUUUUGCCUUUCGAGAGAAUAAAUUCCACUAAAAAGGGUUAAAGAAAAAUCUAUUCACUGAACUUAUUGAUGAAAACUUUAAAUGCGUCAAGUACAUCAAAAGAGGAAACAGAGGGAAAGAACCAGGUUGGCAAACAAGCAAAAAGGCAAGGACGAACCUUCCUCAAGCACUGAAUGUUUUGCGAGUGAAUGGUAAGCGCGAGAAAUGAUGAUACAAGUUGAAAAGACAUAAUUUGAGAUUUUUCAAAAUAGAUUAUUUUAGACAUCCUACUUUAAUCAUUUUUGAUGAAUCAAUACGGUAUUUUUGUCGCUUCCUUAUUACAGUAAUGCAGACAUUAACUUCUGAGCGGAAGGAACCGUGUGUUCAGUUUAUGGAUUUUCGUGUAAAGCGUUUUUUCGGUUGCGAUAGCAGUUACUUACUUUCCUCGAUGCCUUUGAUGCAUUCAGAUAAUUUUUGGAACAUUU
rnacentral:telomerase_RNA from 1 species